rnacentral:rRNA from 1 species
UACGUAGGAGGCAAGCGUUGUCCGGAAUUACUGGGCGUAAAGCGCGUGUAGGUGGUGGGACAAGUCUGCUGUGAAAGUGCCUGGCUUAACCGGGCGAGGUCGGCGGAAACUGUCCGACUCGAGGACGGUAGAGGGGGGUGGAAUUCCCGGUGUAGUGGCGAAAUGCGUAGAGAUCGGGAGGAACACCUGUGGCGAAGGCGGCCCCCUGGGCCGGCCCUGACACUGAGACGCGAAGGCGUGGGGAGCGAACGGG